GAUGAACGCUGGCGGCGUGCCUAAUACAUGCAAGUCGAGCGAACAGACGAGGAGCUUGCUCCUCUGACGUUAGCGGCGGACGGGUGAGUAACACGUGGAUAACCUACCUAUAAGACUGGGAUAACUUCGGGAAACCGGAGCUAAUACCGGAUAAUAUAUUGAACCGCAUGGUUCAAUAGUGAAAGACGGUUUUGCGGUCACUUAUAGAUGGAUCCGCGCCGCAUUAGCUAGUUGGUAAGGUAACGGCUUACCAAGGCAACGAUGCGUAGCCGACCUGAGAGGGUGGUCGGCCACACUGGAACUGAGACACGGUCCAGACUCCUACGGGAGGCAGCAGUAGGGAAUCUUCCGCAAUGGGCGAAAGCCUGACGGAGCAACGCCGCGUGAGUGAUGAAGGUCUUCGGAUCGUAAAACUCUGUUAUUAGGGAAGAACAAAUGUGUAAGUAACUAUGCACGUCUUGACGGUACCUAAUCAGAAAGCCACGGCUAACUACGUG
rnacentral:rRNA from 1 species